GAUGAAGAACGCAGCGAAAUGCGAUAAGUAAUGUGAAUUGCAGAAUUCAGUGAAUCAUCGAAUCUUUGAACGCACAUUGCGCCCGCCAGUAUUCUGGCGGGCAUGCCUGUUCGAGCGUCAUUUCAACCCUCAUGCCCCUAGGGCGUGGUGUUGGGGAUCGGCCAAAGCCCGCGAGGGACGGCCGGCCCCUAAAUCUAGUGGCGGACCCGUCGUGGCCUCCUCUGCGAAGUAGUGAUAUUCCGCAUCGGAGAGCGAUGAGCCCCUGCCGUUAAACCCCCAACUUUCCAAGGUUGACCUCAGAUCAGGUAGGAAUACCCGCUGAACUUAAGCAUAUCAAUAAGCGGAGGA
rnacentral:misc_RNA from 1 species